rnacentral:misc_RNA from 1 species
GUGAAUCAUCGAAUUUUUGAACGCAAAUUGCGCUUCCUGGCAUUCCGGGAAGUAUGCCUGUUUGAGGGUCAGUUUUAAUUAAAAAUCGGCUUAGUUACAAUUUGUGACGUUUUCGGAGUUUGGGCUAUCUUUACAUUUUUGGUUAAGAGGCUUCACAUCGACCUUUCUUGCGCAUUUUUAUACGUACAUAAAUUUUUUUUAUUCGUCUAUUCUUAAUGCCA